GAUGAAGAACGUAGCGAAAUGCGAUAAGUAAUGUGAAUUGCAGAAUUCAGUGAAUCAUCGAAUCUUUGAACGCACAUUGCGCCCGCCAGUAUUCUGGCGGGCAUGCCUGUCCGAGCGUCAUUUCAACCCUCGAACCCCUCCGGGGGGUCGGCGUUGGGGAUCGGCCCUGCCUUUGGCGGUGGCCGUCUCCGAAAUACAGUGGCGGUCUCGCCGCAGCCUCUCCUGCGCAGUAGUUUGCACACUCGCAUCGGGAGCGCGGCGCGUCCACAGCCGUUAAACACCCAACUUCUGAAAUGUUGACCUCGGAUCAGGUAGGAAUACCCGCUGAACUUAAGCAUAUCUAUAAGCGGAGGA
rnacentral:misc_RNA from 1 species